rnacentral:ncRNA from 1 species
AAUAGUGGCACCCAAGCCUUCAUUGCGACGGUGCUUUUUGAUCCUUCGGUGUCGACUCUUCCUAUUAUUGUGUUGCAGCAUUUGUCAAGCGUUGGAUUGUUCACUCUCUAAAGAGGGAAAAUGACCUGAAUUCUCUUCGUGAA